rnacentral:rRNA from 1 species
CCUACGGGCGGCAGCAGUGAGGAAUAUUGGUCAAUGGACGAGAGUCUGAACCAGCCAAGUAGCGUGAAGGAUGACUGCCCUAUGGGUUGUAAACUUCUUUUAUAUGGGAAUAAAACAGGGUAUGCAUACCCUCUUGUAUGUACCAUAUGAAUAAGGAACGGCUAACUCCGUGCCAGCAGCCGCGGUAAUACGGAGGAUCCGAGGGUUAUCCGGGUUUAUUGGGGUUAAAGGGAGCGUAGGUGGAUUGUUAAGGCAGUGGUGAAAGUUUGCGGCUCAAACGUAAAAUUGCAGUUGAAACUGGCAGUCUUGAGUACAGUAGAGGUGGGCGGAAUGCGUGGUGUAGCGGUGAAAUGCUUAGAUAUCACGAAGAACUCCGAUUGCGAAGGCAGCUCACUGGACUGCAACUGACACUGAUGCUCGAAAGUGUGGGUAUCGAACAGGAUUAGAUACCCUAGUAGUC